GAUGAACGCUGGCGGCGUGCCUAAUACAUGCAAGUCGAGCGAACGGACGAGAAGCUUGCUUCUCUGAUGUUAGCGGCGGACGGGUGAGUAACACGUGGAUAACCUACCUAUAAGACUGGGAUAAAUUCGGGAAACCGGAGCUAAUACCGGAUAACAUUUUGAACCGCAUGGUUCAAAAGUAAAAGACGGUCUUGCUGUCACUUAUAGAUGGAUCCGCGCUGCAUUAGCUAGUUGGUAAGGUAACGGCUUACCAAGGCAACGAUGCAUAGCCGACCUGAGAGGGUGAUCGGCCACACUGGAACUGAGACACGGUCCAGACUCCUACGGGAGGCAGCAGUAGGGAAUCUUCCGCAAUGGGCGAAAGCCUGACGGAGCAACGCCGCGUGAGUGAUGAAGGUCUUCGGAUCGUAAAACUCUGUUAGUAGGGAAGAACACAUGUGUAAGUAACUGUGCACAUCUUGACGGUACCUAAUCAGAAAGCCACGGCUAACUACGUG
rnacentral:rRNA from 1 species